CAGGUGGUGCAUGGUUGUCGUCAGCUCGUGUCGUGAGAUGUGGGUUAAGUCCCGCAACGAGCGCAACCCUCGUUCUAUGUUGCCAGCACGUAAUGGUGGGAACUCAUGGGAUACUGCCGGGGUCAACUCGGAGGAAGGUGGGGAUGACGUCAAAUCAUCAUGCCCCUUAUGUCUUGGGCUUCACGCAUGCUACAAUGGCCGGUACAAAGGGCUGCAAUACCGUAAGGUGGAGCGAAUCCCAAAAAGCCGGUCCCAGUUCGGAUUGAGGUCUGCAACUCGACCUCAUGAAGUCGGAGUCGCUAGUAAUCGCAGAUCAGCAACGCUGCGGUGAAUACGUUCCCGGGUCUU
rnacentral:rRNA from 1 species